UACGUAGGGUGCGAGCGUUGUCCGGAAUUAUUGGGCGUAAAGAGCUCGUAGGCGGCCUGUCGCGUCGGUUGUGAAAGCCCGGGGCUUAACCCCGGGUCUGCAGUCGAUACGGGCAGGCUAGGGUUCGGUAGGGGAGAUCGGAAUUCCUGGUGUAGCGGUGAAAUGCGCAGAUAUCAGGAGGAACACCGGUGGCGAAGGCGGAUCUCUGGGCCGAUACUGACGCUGAGGAGCGAAAGCGUGGGGAGCGAACAGG
rnacentral:rRNA from 1 species